CUGAGAUAAAUCGGAAACGUUCUUUGCUCUUGAAAGCCAGACUGAUAAAAUUAUGACAGAUGUUCUGAAAAUGGAAGCCUUGUUGAGAUCUGUGACUGGGAGUUUUGGUCUUCUGAUACCAAAAUGUCACCCGUGGAGCAGGUUGUCCUGGGCUUCACAGACAAAGAAGGCCUGAGUCACAAAGAAGUAUGAUGGAACUGUGCUUGGAGGACUAUAGAGUGAAU